CGUGUAGGCGGUCGGAUGUGUCAGAUGUGAAAGCCCUGGGCUUAACCCAGGAAGUGCAUUUGAAACUGUCCGACUUGAGUAGGGGAGAGGGAAGUGGAAUUCCUGGUGUAGAGGUGAAAUUCGUAGAUAUCAGGAGGAACACCGGUGGCGAAGGCGACUUCCUGGCCCUAUACUGACGCUGAGACGCGAGAGCGUGGGUAGCAAACA
rnacentral:rRNA from 1 species